rnacentral:misc_RNA from 1 species
UUUCCGUAGGUGAACCUGCGGAAGGAUCAUUAUUGAAUGAAUUAAGAGUUGGUUGUUGCUGGCCUUCCGGGGCAUGUGCACACCUUCUCUUUCAUCCACACACACCUGUGCACUUGUGAGACAGGGAGGGCCUUCAUUGGCUUUUUCCUGUCUACUUUACACAAACUCAUUUUUUUUUAAACUGAAUGUAAUUGAUGUAACACAUCAUUUAAUACUAAGUUUCAACAACGGAUCUCUUGGCUCUC